rnacentral:rRNA from 1 species
GACAGAGGGUGCAAACGUUGUUCGGAAUUACUGGGCGUAAAGCGCGUGUAGGCUGCUCGGAAAGUCGGGUGUGAAAGCUCUGGGCUCAACCUAGGAAGUGCACUCGAAACUUCCGUGCUGGAGUGCUGGAGAGGAAGGCGGAAUUCUCGGUGUAGAGGUGAAAUUCGUAGAUAUCGAGAGGAACACCGGUGGCGAAGGCGGCCUUCUGGACAGCAACUGACGCUGAGACGCGAAAGCGUGGGGAGCAAACAGG